rnacentral:rRNA from 1 species
UACGUAGGUGGCAAGCGUUGUCCGGAUUUACUGGGUGUAAAGGGUGCGCAGGCGGGACUGUAAGUUGGAUGUGAAAUACCGAGGCUCAACCUCGGGGCUGCAUCCAAAACUAUGGUUCUUGAGUGAAGUAGAGGUAGGCGGAAUUCCGAGUGUAGCGGUGAAAUGCGUAGAUAUUCGGAGGAACACCAGUGGCGAAGGCGGCCUACUGGGCUUUAACUGACGCUGAGGCACGAAAGCAUGGGGAGCAAAC